CCUCAAUCUCACGUACAGUCCAGGCUGGGAGGAAUAGUGUCAGUGCAUUAGUCAGUGCAGCAGGCAAGAUGAUCUCGUUUUAUACCACUGAGAUGAUGGAUACUCAGAGGCAGGCGGAAAGUUUGCCAGCUGCUGUGUGUCUGUGAAGAACUCCCUGACCAGUGUCUUGAGUUGCCAUGGAGAUAUGACUGCUUCUGUUGAGUAGCUCUGAGACAUGAAGGACCUGAGCCCUAGGACCAUGCCUCAGGACUACCUGGUAUGAUGACUCCUUGCUGUCCCCAGUCCACCUGGCCGUGCUGCUGCUCCAGUUUCAACUGUUCUGCCUGCGGCUAUGGAACCCUGACCUGUUCACCGGACGUGCUUGUUGCACCCUCGAC
rnacentral:lncRNA from 1 species